rnacentral:lncRNA from 1 species
AUGUUGGUCGUUGGGGGCUUAUCGGCUCAGGCGAAGGAUGUAAGAAGUGAAGGGCCACGACGGUGCUUGCGCAAGGAGGAAAAUGAAUGUGCUAUCGGAGCGGAGAACCUCACCAGAGAUUCACUGGAGUUUGUGCAGGAGGAACAAAUGGACUCUAUUCGCAUAUUUUCCUAGGUAUAUAUCAAAUUUAGGUUAACAGGCCUCCACACAGGCUACGCCCCUGAGAUAUUGAACUAUAUGCCACUUUUAGAUGUGACAAUUAACUAUUUACGGGCUCGGGGGGCGAAAAACUCUAGCCGCCCGCGCCUCCACUCCCUCCCCACCGCCUCGCCGCCGCCGGAGCUCGCCGGCGGCAAAGCCAACAGCGAGCAGGGAAGGCGGCGGCGAGGCCCUUCCUUCCUGGCGACUCCUCCCCGACGCGACGUGGACGGGACGACGCCGGCGAAGACCCUCCACCGCGGUCGGAGGUGGCGACGGCGGCGCGAUGCGGGGAGGCAGCAGAUCCGGCGCCUCCAAGACCGGAUCCGGCCACCCCGCGCCUGGAUCUGGCGCGACGGUGGCGCGAGGCGGCUGGGGGGCGGCGGCGGCGGCGCAAUGACGGCGUGGCCGACCCGGUGCGGCAGCCUGGGCACGGUGGCGGCGGCUCGACGGCUGGGACGGCUGCAGCUUGGAGGCGGUGGCGGCUAG